CAUGAAUUCCAACCAGCAAGCUGUAGUCCAUGAGUUUCAACUGAGCAAGGAACUUUGAAGGCAACAAUAAAAGGGAUAUGUGUAAAUUGGUCCUUAACACAAAGGCAGAGGGAGCAGUGAAGGAAGGUGAAGAUGCAUUGGCAAAGGAGAAGAG